rnacentral:tRNA from 1 species
GGGCGAUUAGCUCAGUUGGUAGAGUAUCUCGUUUACACCGAGGAGGUCGGGAGUUCAAGUCUCUCAUCGCCCACCA